rnacentral:rRNA from 1 species
AGCGAACGCUGGCGGCAGGCCUAACACAUGCAAGUCGAACGCUCGUAGCAAUACGAGAGUGGCAGACGGGUGAGUAACGCGUGGGAACGUGCCCUUCGGUUCGGAAUAACCCGGGGAAACUCGGGCUAAUACCGAAUACGUCCGUAAGGAGAAAGAUUUAUCGCCGAAGGAUCGGCCCGCGUCGGAUUAGCUAGUUGGUGAGGUAAUGGCUCACCAAGGCGAUGAUCCGUAGCUGGUCUGAGAGGACGAUCAGCCACACUGGGACUGAGACACGGCCCAGACUCCUACGGGAGGCAGCAGUGGGGAAUAUUGGACAAUGGGCGCAAGCCUGAUCCAGCCAUGCCGCGUGAGUGAUGAAGGCCUUAGGGUUGUAAAGCUCUUUUAGCGGGGACGAUAAUGACGGUACCCGCAGAAAAAGCCCCGGGCUAACUUCGUGCCAGCAGCCGCGGUAAUACGAAGGGGGCUAGCGUUGCUCGGAAUCACUGGGCGUAAAGCGCACGUAGGUGG